UACGAAGGGGGCUAGCGUUAUUCGGAAUCACUGGGCUUACAGAGUUCGUAGGCGGUCUGGAAAGUUGGGUGUGAAAUCCCUCGGCUCAACCGAGGAACUGCGCUUGAAACUACCAGACUCGAGGGAGAUAGAGGAAAGCGGAACUGAUGGUGGAGCGGUGAAAUGCGUUGAUAUCAUCAGGAACACCGGUGGCGAAGGCGGCUUUCUGGGUCUUACCUGACGCUGAGGAACGAAAGCCAGGGGAGCGAACGGG
rnacentral:rRNA from 1 species